GAAGUGCGCCUCACUUUGACGCACGGCAGGGCACCUUUCUCAGGUGUCCGCUCUGUUGUGUAGUAAAUAGAUCUCUCAUACUCACUGCUGCUCAGAGGAGACCUCGCUCAUGGAGCGGUGACACACUUUCGUUUCCCAGCAUGCAGCAGGAGCUUUGGCUGAGGGCCCUUCUUGAUACCUGCGUGUGCAAUGAGAUCAGCCGCUGCGCAAACACUCCCGACAAGACCGACCGAACAAGAGCUCAAAAAUGCCUUAUCCAACAGCGCCACAGGACACAACCACCACAUCUCCAACUCCAGCAGACCAGCACAGUCCCGAACAAAGACGUCCACAGACACAGUUAAUUGUACUUCUUUGCAUCAUCAUGGCCAUAAUCGAGAAAAUGCAGAUCAAUGUGAUAUUGCCGAGGGCCCCUGGAACCUAAACAACCCGGUGAAAGCCUCAAGGAGCCACCAGGAGCUUCACAAAGAGCUGUUACUGGCCCACAAAAAAGGGCUGGUGGUGUGCUGUAAGCCGGAGCUUCAGACGGUUCUAGAGAGGAGGAAGAGAGAGCAGACCCAGAGGGAGGAGGGGGAGCAGAGCAGGAGUCCUCUGGAGCAGGUGCUUCUCCAGCGCCAGCAGAAACAUCAGGAGAUGAUGAAGGAGAAGGAAGAGGAGCAGAAGUUACGUGAGGAGGUUCAGCUCUUGGAGUUUGUGCGAGUGAGACAGAACCUGAAGAAAGUCCAUACAGCUCUACAGAAGAACAUUCACUCCUGAUCUGACUAAAGACGUACUUCAUUUGUCCAUGCAGCUUCAUUUUGAAAUAAGAUACACAGCGUUUCAUCAUAUCUAUUAUGAUCUUGUUGUUAACCUUUUUUCAUACAUUUUUAGUCUGUUACAGUUCACUACACUUUUCAUUUGUGUUCUGCAAUAAUUUAAUAAUGUAAAAAACAAAAAAAAACAAACAAAAAAAAAAACUAGCGUACAGAUAUCCAGAUAGUCAUAGUUCCCUCCAAAUACCAUUAUUACUUCCACAGUUAUUGUAAAACCAUACAAGUGAUUCACAAACUGUAAUAUUUUGCUGAGAGUGGUGGCCUGUACGAAGCUAGCAGUUUUAUUGCAGAAAACCGUAAUACUACAAAAAACUUAAGUAAAUACCACGAUUUUACCACGGUACAUGUUCAAACUGUGUGGUUUUCACAUCCAUUUUUGGUACUUUGUAAAGAAAAGAAAUAAAUCACGUAGUAUUUUUUUGUAAUGGGUUUAAAAGUAUUUAUAAAUGUCAGUAUUCUGAAAUCAAACCAGAAUGAACUAUUCAUAUUGUAUGGAAUAAACAUGGCUUUGAUUGAUAAAAUGAA